CCACAAUCGACAAAGCAGUAUUUCGACACAGUAGAGCAAAAACUAGUUUUGGCAAUCUUUAUCACGAGUGUACAUAAACCUUUUUAGAUCAUAUACUAUAUGUAGUACCAGUAUAUGAUCUAAGCAUAAACCAUUAAAUAAAUAAAAUAUUUAUAAAAAUUCAUACAACUGUAAACUUGUCUAAAUACAGUCGUGAUAACCGCUGUAAUCAAUAAUCAAACCAACAAAUAUUGAAUAAAAUGAGUUGUUAAUUAUCUACAUAUCUUAAAUUUUCAAAUAGAAUAACAUCAAUUUUAUUCUACUACAAGGCCAGAGAAAAAUGCCCUGGGCGAUGGGGACGCCACCUUCCUGACGCCAGCAGAGAAAAACUUUAAAAAAAAAAACUAGUUAACUUAGAACUGUUGUUGUAACACAAAAUCUUCUUAGAACCAUUUCAUAUAAACUUGGAUAUAAUUGUUUUUUUAUAAUUGUUUAAACCACUUCAAAGGAACUUGCUAAUGAUUGAAAAGAUUUCCAGUCAGAAUUCCGUUUCUUCAACCAAUUAAAAGAGUGGAAAUGAUUUAUAAUAAAUUUGAAGAUAUGGAAGUCUAUAGCCUUUGACCUUGAGAGUAUUAUAGGCAGGGUUGUUUUGAUGAUUUGUGGUGCUCAGGGCAGAGUAAAUUUGCAGGGCUUUAAAUGUUGAAAAUUUCACUAUCGAGCAUCAGUUACAUAUUGGAACUCAAAUGUGCGCAAAUAGUCUUAACAAAUACAGUUCCUUGCACUUACAACAAUAUGAAUAAGUUAAUAAAUUAAUUAUAUAAUAAACAAUUUUACAUGAAAAAAAAAUGAUAUGUACAUUUUUUUUUUUUUACUCAUCAAUUUAACUGUUUUUUAUUGAUCUAUGAAAGCAAGGCCUGUCCAACUGUGGUGAGAGCGGGGGGGAGGGCUCCGCUCACCCUGCCCUAGGGAUGGCCCUGAUUAUAGGUAGUUUUGUAGAGGAAGUUGUUAUGGACUUGCUGGUAGAUGCCAUUAAUGGAUCUUCAGUACAUUCUUCAUUGUCAGAUGAAAGGUUGUU